GAAGAAACACAACUUUCCAGGUUCUAUGUUUUAUUUGCAUUCUUAGUGUCUGGCACAUUGUCUGACACAGUGUAAAAGCUGAGUAGAAUUUUGCCUGAUAGCAGAUGUGCCUAAAGUGAGGGUGUCCAAAAUUUCAUUAAAUGACGACUGCUUUAAUAUGAAUUCUUGGCUAAGGCAGGAGAAUCGCUUGAACCCAGGAGGCAGAGGUUGCAGUGAGCCGAGAUCACACCACUGCACUCCAGCCUGGUGAGAGAGGGAGACUGCAUCUCAAAAAAAAAAAAAAUAUAUAUAUAUAUAUAUAUGAAUUCUUACUGAUAGUAUUAAAUGAUUAUCUCUUUACAUUCACAGUAAUGUCUUACAAUAACAGAAUGCAGGAGAGCACAUAUCAAUGAAGAAAAGACAAAAUGUACUUAUCCAUGAAGCUGAGGUUAAGAAACCAGUGUCUUCAAGAGCCAGGGACAGCACUGGGUCUGUGCAGAGUUGAGAGAUGGUGAUGACAUGUGGUUUCCAGCAUUCCUCGCCCAGUCCAGGGACACUGUGGGUGUGCCCAGCUUAAGUCCAGUCCAGUAACUGGAAAUACAAGC
rnacentral:lncRNA from 1 species